GACGACGCUAGGCGGCGUGGAUUAGGUCAUGCAAGUCGAACGGUAGGAUACCUUCGGGUAUCUGAGAGUGGCGAACGGGUGAGUAACACGUAGGUGAUCUACCCGUCAAGGAUUCGGGACAACCCAGGGAAACUUGGGCUAAUACCGGAUGAAAGCAGCAGUGAUGUUGUUUGAAAGGUGGCGUAAGCUGCCGUUUGGGGAUGAGCCUGCGCUCUAUUAGUUAGUUGGCGGGGUAAAGCCCACCAAGGCGAUGAUAGAUAGGCGGCCUUAACGGGUGGUCGCCCACACUGGGAUUGAGAUACGGCCCAGACUCCUACGGGAGGCAGCAGUCGAGAAUAGUCUACAAUGGCCGAAAGGCUGAUAGUGCGACGCCGCGUGAACGAAGAAGCCCUUCGGGGUGUAAAGUUCUUUUAUAUGUGAGCAGUGCUUUCUAUGUGAACAGCAUGGGGAGAGAGAUAUUAGCAUAUGAAUAAGCAACGGCUAACUCCGUG
rnacentral:rRNA from 1 species